GCGCAGGUUCCGGAGCGGUUAACGGGAUCGCCUGCAGAGCGGUUAUUCGCAGGUUCGAAUCCUGCCCUGCGCU
rnacentral:tRNA from 1 species